rnacentral:rRNA from 1 species
GACGAACGCUGGCGGCGUGCUUAAAACAUGCAAGUCGAACGGACUUCUCAUGAAGCUUGCGAUUGAGAAGUUAGUGGCGGACGGGUGAGUAACGCGUGGGCAACCUGCCCCUGAGCCCGGGAUAACAGUUCGAAAGGACUGCUAAGACCGGAUAUACUUGCGGUGAAGCAUUUCACUGCAAGGAAAGGGAACGCUCAGGGAUGGGCCCGCGUCCCAUUAGCUAGUUGGUGAGGUAACGACCCACCAAGGCGACGAUAAGUAGCCAACCUGAGAGGGUGAACGGCCACACUGGGACUGAGACACGGCCCAGACUCCUACGGGAGGCAGCAGUUGGGAAUCUUCGGCAAUGGGCGCAAGCCUGACCGAGCAACGCCGCGUGAGUGAUGAAGGUUUUCGGAUUGUAAAGCUCUGUCUUCCGGGACGAUAAUGACGGUACCGGAGGAGGAAGCCACGGCUAACUACGUGCCAGCAGCCGCGGUAAGACGUAGCGUG